GCCUGGUUGGCUCAGUCGGUAGAGCAUAUGGCUCUUGACCUUCGGGGUGUGAGUUCGAGCCCCACAUUGGCUG
rnacentral:tRNA from 1 species